CGGGUGGUGGCGCAGCCCGGUAGCGCAUUUGCAUGGGGUGCAAGAGGUCGCUGGUUCGAAUCCAGUCCACCCGACAA
rnacentral:tRNA from 1 species